AUGAACGCUGGCGGCGUGCCUAAUACCUGCAAGUCGAGCGAACAGACGAGGAGCUUGCUCCUUCGACGUUAGCGGCGGACGGGUGAGUAACACGUAGGUAACCUACCUAUAAGACUGGGAUAACUUCGGGAAACCGGAGCUAAUACCGGAUAAUAUUUCGAACCGCAUGGUUCGAUAGUGAAAGAUGGCUUUGCUAUCACUUAUAGAUGGACCUGCGCCGUAUUAGCUAGUUGGUAAGGUAACGGCUUACCAAGGCAACGAUACGUAGCCGACCUGAGAGGGUGAUCGGCCACACUGGAACUGAGACACGGUCCAGACUCCUACGGGAGGCAGCAGUAGGGAAUCUUCCGCAAUGGGCGAAAGCCUGACGGAGCAACGCCGCGUGAGUGAUGAAGGUCUUCGGAUCGUAAAACUCUGUUAUUAGGGAAGAACAAACGUGUAAGUAACUGUGCACGUCUUGACGGUACCUAAUCAGAAAGCCACGGCUAACUACGUG
rnacentral:rRNA from 1 species